GCCGAGAGCGACGGGACGUUUACUGCUCUAACUGAUGUUUCAGACAAGAGAGACAAAGAAGCGCCCCCUGCAUCCUCAUCCGCUAGCGGAGGAGGCGGAGCGCAGGGCAGGUAAAACAAGAGGAGAGCCAGCACACAGAUGAAGUCAAGAGAAUUCAUUGUCUUGAGUGAAGAAGCUGAUGUUUCGCCGCUCGCGCCAAAUGUCGGCACAUAGUUUUCUGCGGCCGUCCAAAGAUUCAUUCCGUCUCAUCAAAAGUUAGGGCCACCGCCCAGAAGCUUUUUCAAGGAUGGUGUCACCCAAGACAAGAGUUCCCUUACAUCAUCAAUGAUAUCUGAGACCAAGAAACGCAGACGAAUACCGCAUCUAUUUGUGCUGAAAAUCCCGUUAUUCGUGGAGCAUUUAUCGCGACAUAUCCAUCGGUUUCCAACCCAAAAGCACGCGGAGGACCUGCCCAGAUGAAACACUCGCCAGUGCAACUAGUUCGUUUGCUCGAAAUGCGAGAAGUUUGUCUGCUCGGCCAGUUGCGAAACCACAAAAAUGUGCGCUCCCAGUGUCCACAAGAUUGCGCUCCGAAAAUGCUAACCUGGAUAAGAAUUCAAACACGGAAAAAACUUUUCAGCCAGUCGCAUCACGAUUUUGCUUUGUUUUGUGAUUAACGUUUGCGUGUCUCGCUAGGGGAGCAGCAUUAAGAGCAGCCCGUGUCAUGAAGUGAAGGAAAAGACCCUUACGUGUCUUCAUCUUCCCGUAUUUUGCUGGGAGUGGAGUAAAACGUGACUUGUAGUAACAUCAUGAACUAACGCUGGAGCUUUCUGUGCUGUCGCGCGAGUCCGAU
rnacentral:lncRNA from 1 species